AACAUCAUCACUCCCAUUUCACCCAGCGAUGAUCGCCUGUCAAGUUCUUGCUUCGUGAUCUUUCUGCCAUUUGGAUGGAAGUUUCUUUUGGCCCAAUAUCGAAUGCCAAUCCAAUGCAUGAGCGGCUUUCUGGAUGAGAUGCGACAUGAUUCAACGACUGUUUCUGAAAACAAGCCAGCUUAUUGUGCUAACUAAUCUGCGUACAGUAGUCCUUGGGAUGGAGGAUAGUGGCAUUUAAGGGAUUUUGUAGAUUAUAAGCUUCCAUCGAAAGAGCCUAAGGACUCGCUCCUGGGUUCACUGUACAGGCCCACAUGAUCCGAGUACAUCGCUAUUUCCCCUCCGCAUCCGCAUCCCCCUUCGCUUACCGCACGUCCUUUAUGGCAAAGUUAAACUUUUCAAGGUUAAGUCUUUGGCUGGCGUCGCCGGCGAGCAAUGACACUUGGGCAUGGGCAGAACGGGCCCGCGGGGGAAGGGACACGGAUAGGGACCAGAAGCAACAUCCAAUUCCACGUCCACAUCAUCGCUAUCGAACACCCUCUCGCACACUCACGCACACACACACAAACACGCCCAGCAGUUCGCAGUUCGUUCACUUGCCGGGAACCCUGCCUCCUCGUUGUGCUCUUCGUCCUCCAUCGGAAUCUACCCUCCAUCCUCUUGGAACCGUCUAGCAGCUACCAUAUACCUCGUACCGUCUGCCGUCUGCCGCAAUUCCUGCGCGACCAACCGUGGCACUGUGGUUCGAAGUCUACAGUUUAAGGAUCAAAGUCACAAACAAAGUACUAUUAAAUUAAUAUUGUUAAUUGCUUAAAAAACAAGAGUUUACUAAGCACACAACUUUAAAUUUGUAUAGUGGCUUACCAGUCGUAUACUUAAUAUCUAUAUUCAUACAUUCUUCUUAAAUUGGGAGAAUUCACCACGAUUGGAAUAUAUAUUUAAUUAAAAGCUCGAUCGACGACCACUGUGGCUAUGACACCCUUUAAAUAUCUGUUAACCCAGCUCUUCCCCCCUGAUAAUUUUCUGCCCGUCUGGAUGUUAUUGCUCACGUUCUCAUUCUCUCAGGUGCACGCUACGCUCCAGUGGUGCAGCCAUUCCGCCCUUCUGUGCACUCUACACUCUCAGCCAGGACAAAAAGUUGCAGCUUGAACAGUGUGCACUUAG
ensembl:ncRNA lncRNA:CR44743 long non-coding RNA:CR44743